CAGCCGCCACGGGAAUACGAAGGGGGCUAGCGUUGUUCGGAAUUACUGGGCGUAAAGCGCACGUAGGCGGAUAUUUAAGUCAGGGGUGAAAUCCCGCAGCUCAACUGCGGAACUGCCUUUGAUACUGGGUAUCUUGAGUAUGGAAGAGGUAAGUGGAAUUGCGAGUGUAGAGGUGAAAUUCGUAGAUAUUCGCAGGAACACCAGUGGCGAAGGCGGCUUACUGGUCCAUUACUGACGCUGAGGUGCGAAAGCGUGGGGAGCAAACAGGAUUAGAUACCCCGGUAGUCCCUGUCUCUUAUAC
rnacentral:rRNA from 1 species